rnacentral:lncRNA from 1 species
GGGAUUGCAGUGGCAAAGCUAGGCUAGGUCUUGGAGGCUGGUGUAAGGCGAUGUGGGUGAAGGCAGGAGGCUGAUGGAAAGACUGGGGGGAAGAAAAGCCGAAAUGGAUUCACGGUGCCUUGGAUGAAGGACGAGAGGGGAACUGCAAGCUCCUUCAACUGGUUCUGUCCGGUGAGAAGUGAUCAAGCUUGGGCUGACAAGAGGCUCAGGGAGCCCUCACGUUCUUUCGCUUUUUUACCUGCCAAUCAAACUGCUACAAGACAACACCCUGAUCUGGCAUGGACAUAGAUCUGGAAAUACACCCUGUGUGGCAGUCAUUUAACACUGGUAGAUUUAAGUCUGAAAGCGUUAACUUUUGGAAUUAAAUUCUAAUUUAGAUUUAA